rnacentral:rRNA from 1 species
CCUACGGGGGGCAGCAGUGGGGAAUAUUGCACAAUGGGCGCAAGCCUGAUGCAGCCAUGCCGCGUGUGUGAAGAAGGCCUUCGGGUUGUAAAGCACUUUCAGCGGGGAGGAAGGCGUUAAGGUUAAUAACCUUGGCGAUUGACGUUACCCGCAGAAGAAGCACCGGCUAACUCCGUGCCAGCAGCCGCGGUAAUACGGAGGGUGCAAGCGUUAAUCGGAAUUACUGGGCGUAAAGCGCACGCAGGCGGUCCGUCAAGUCGGAUGUGAAAUCCCCGGGCUCAACCUGGGAACUGCAUUCGAAACUGGCAGGCUAGAGUCUUGUAGAGGGGGGUAGAAUUCCAGGUGUAGCGGUGAAAUGCGUAGAGAUCUGGAGGAAUACCGGUGGCGAAGGCGGCCCCCUGGACAAAGACUGACGCUCAGGUGCGAAAGCGUGGGGAGCAAACAGGAUUAGAUACCCCUGUAGUC